rnacentral:rRNA from 1 species
UGCAAGUCGCACGAGAAAGAGGGAGCAAUCCCUUGAGUAAAGUGGCGUACGGGUGAGUAACACGUGGAUCAUCUACCUCUUGGUGGGGAAUACCCCCGGGAAACUGGGGACAAUACCGCAUAAGCCUGCGAAGGGAAAGCAGCAAUGCGCCGAGAGAGGAGUCCGCGGCUGAUUAGCUAGUUGGUGAGGUAAUGGCUCACCAAGGCGAAGAUCGGUAGCCGGCCUGAGAGGGCACACGGCCACACUGGCACUGAAACACGGGCCAGACUCCUACGGGAGGCAGCAGUGGGGAAUCUUGCACAAUGGAGGAAACUCUGAUGCAGCGACGCCGCGUGAGCGAUGAAGCCCUUCGGGGUGUAAAGCUCUUUCGACGGGAACGAUAAUGACGGUACCCGAAGAAGAAGCUGCGGCUAACUACGUGCCAGCAGCCGCGGUAAUACGUAGGCAGCAAGCGUUGUUCGGAAUUACUGGGCGUAAAGAGUGUGUAGGCGGUGUUCUAAGUCUGGUGUGAAAUCUCCCGGCUCAACUGGGAGGGUGCGCCGGAAACUGGAAUGCUCGAGUAUGGGAGAGGUAAGCGGAAUUCCUGGUGUAGCGGUGAAAUGCGUAGAUAUCAGGAGGAACACCUGUGGUGUAGACAGCUUACUGGACCAUCACUGACGCUGAGACACGAAAGCGAGGGUAGCAAACAGGAUUAGAUACCCUGG